CACGUAGGGGGCGAGCGUUGUCCGGAUUUAUUGGGCGUAAAGGGCUCGUAGGCGGUUCGGCAAGUCGGGUGUGAAAUUUCGAGGCUCAACCUCGAAACGCCACUCGAUACUGCUGUGACUGGAGUCCGGUAGAGGAGUGCGGAAUUCCUGGUGUAGCGGUGAAAUGCGCAGAUAUCAGGAGGAACACCAACGGCGAAGGCAGCACUCUGGGCCGGUACUGACGCUGAGGAGCGAAAGCGUGGGGAGCAAACAGG
rnacentral:rRNA from 1 species